GUUCGAGCCGCCCUGCAGCGGUGUGGAGACUCCGACCAGUUGGGGCAGGCGGCUCAGGUCGCGGCCAGCCAGGGGUUGGGAAACUAGUUUCCAUGGCCAAACCUAGCCCACCGUCUGUUUUGUUUCCUGUUCUUCCCAACCUGCGCUAUGGACUUCAUCAGAUUUCAGCAUCAGAGAGAAUAUGGAAGGACAUCGACCCUAACUUCAUCCAGUGAGGAUUUCCACACACCAUACACUCUCUGAGAGUUCUCUUGGCUUUGUGUGCACACCUCCAGUGACAGGGAGCUCGCUAUGUCAUGAGGCAGCCUGCUCCCUUGUGGCUAUCACUGAACCAACUAUUAAGCCUUCUUAUACAAACAGUCCCUGACUUACUGUUAGACUUACAACUUUUUGAUUUUACAGUGGUGCAAAAGCAAUAUGCAUUCCAUAGAAACUGUAUUUCAAAUUUUGAAUUUUGAUCUUUUCCAGGCUAGCAACAUAUGAAGACCAACCUUCUAUUUUUAAAAUA
ensembl:lncRNA B4GALT1-AS1 B4GALT1 antisense RNA 1